rnacentral:rRNA from 1 species
AGAGUUUGAUCAUGGCUCAGGACAAACGCUGGCGGCGUGCCUAACACAUGCAAGUCGAGCGCGAAAGGAGCUUCGGCUCUGAGUAAAGCGGCGAACGGGUGAGUAACACGUGGGCAACCUGCCUCAAGGACUGGGAUAACUCCGGGAAACCGGGGCUAAUACCGGGCGAUGUCGUCUGGCGCAAGCCGGCCGACCAAAUGGUAGCUUCGGCCUCCGCCUUGAGAUGGGCCCGCGUCCUAUCAGCUUGUUGGUGAGGUAACGGCUCACCAAGGCUUCGACGGGUAGCUGGUCUGAGAGGAUGAUCAGCCACACUGGGACUGAGAUACGGCCCAGACUCCUACGGGAGGCAGCAGUGGGGAAUCUUGCGCAACGGGCGAAAGCCUGACGCAGCAACGCCGCGUGAGCGAAGAAGGCCUUCGGGUUGUAAAGCUCUGUCAGGGGGAAAGAAGGCACCUGGGUUAAUAGCCCAAGGGCUGACGGUACCCCCAAAGGAAGCCACGGCUAACUACGUGCCAGCAGCCGCGGUAAUACGUGGGUGGCGAGCGUUGUCCGGAAUCAUUGGGCGUAAAGAGCGCGUAGGUGGCUUGUCAGGUCCGGUGUGAAAUCCUGGGGCUUAACCCCAGGCCUGCAUCGGAAACUGGCUUGCUAGAGUCUGGGAGAGGAGAGUGGAAUUCCUGGUGUAGCGGUGAAAUGCGUAGAUAUCAGGAGGAACACUGGUAGCGAAGGCGGCUCUCUGGAACAGUACUGACACUGAGGCGCGAAAGCUAGGGGAGCAAACAGGAUUAGAUACUCUGGUAGUCCUAGCCGUAAACGAUGGACACUAGGUGUCGGGGGUGUCGACUCCCUCGGUGCUGAAGCUAACGCAUUAAGUGUCUCGCCUGGGGAGUACGGCCGCAAGGCUAAAACUCAAAGGAAUUG